AGAGAGAGUUCAAGAGGACGUGAAACCACAAGGGGCGAAACGGAUAGAAUUGACGAGACUGGCGGUAAUCAGUGCUGCUAAGUGCUCCGCUGCGCGAUCGGCUCCUGAUGAGGAGUCGCGUGUGGUUUGGGUGAGUGCUUGCCGGUGCGCAUUUACUGUCGGUAUACGCUGAGACGUUCGGUGUUCCCUUCUGAACCGUGCGAUGUGGCCUACCUCGGUAGUCACCUGUCGUGCGGGGAGGUUGAUGUGAGCGCUGAGCGGCUGGUUCGGGCCUCGCCUUUGCGCGGAGCUUGCGGAUGCUCGUUUGCGGUGUAGUCGAUGGCGUGCCAUUGGCUGCAUUUGCGAGCCUGUAUACGUGAGCACUGCUAUCAGGCUUGCUCUCGGUGUGAAAGUCGAUCACCUAUCCGACCCGUCUUGAAACACGGACCAAGAAGUCUAGCAAAUGCGCGAGUCAAUGGGUGUCAAACCUAAUGGCGAAAUGAAAGUAAAGGCCGGCUCGACUGGCUGAUAUGUGAUCCGUGACUACGGUUGCGGCGCAACAUAGCCCCAUGCCGACUGCUUGCAGUGGUGUGGAGGUAGAGCGUAUUUGCUGGGACCCGAAAGAUGGUGAACUAUGCCUGAGCAGGAUGAAGCCAGAGGAAACUCUGGUGGAGGUCCGAAGCGGUUCUGACGUGCAAAUCGAUCGUCUGACUUGGGUAUAGGGGCGAAAGACUAAUC
rnacentral:rRNA from 1 species